GCAGUCGAGCGGUAACAGAUCUAGCUUGCUGGAUGCUGACGAGCGGCGGACGGGUGAGUAAUGCAUAGGAAUCUGCCCGAUAGUGGGGGAUAACCUGGGGAAACCCAGGCUAAUACCGCAUACGUCCUACGGGAGAAAGGGGGCUCCGGCUCCCGCUAUGGGAUGAGCCUAUGUCGGAUUAGCUAGUUGGUGAGGUAACGGCUCACCAAGGCGACGAUCCGUAGCUGGUCUGAGAGGAUGAUCAGCCACAUCGGGACUGAGACACGGCCCGAACUCCUACGGGAGGCAGCAGUGGGGAAUAUUGGACAAUGGGGGAAACCCUGAUCCAGCCAUGCCGCGUGUGUGAAGAACGCCCUCGGGUUGUAAAGCACUUUCAGCGAGGAAGAACGCCUAGCGGUUAAUACCCGCUAGGAAAGACAUCACUCGCACAAGAAGCACCGGCUAACUCCGUGCCAGCAGCCGCGGUAAUACGGAGGGUGCAAGCGUUAAUCGGAAUUACUGGGCGUAAAGCGCGCGUAGGUGGCUUGAUAAGCCGGUUGUGAAAGCCCCGGGCUCAACCUGGGAACGGCAUCCGGAACUGUCAAGCUAGAGUGCAGGAGAGGAAGGUAGAAUUCCCGGUGUAGCGGUGAAAUGCGUAGAGAUCGGGAGGAAUACCAGUGGCGAAGGCGGCCUUCUGGACUGACACUGACACUGAGGUGCGAAAGCGUGGGUAGCACACAGGAUUAGAUACCCUGGUAGUCCACGCCGUAAACGAUGUCGACCAGC
rnacentral:rRNA from 1 species